rnacentral:misc_RNA from 1 species
GGGAAGUAGUAGGCGGCACCCACAGUAAUUUAUUGCUGGACAUUGACAUAUAAGCUAAGGCAAAACGCACAAAUUCAGAGGUCGGGAACCAUAUUCCGUUCAACUGGAAGGGUAAUAUAGAGAUACAAUCCUCAAACAAGUCGAAGAAUGUAGAGAAGGAAUAGGAAUCCAUUCAUCCCUUCUCCACUUUUCAAAGGUUAUGGGGAGUGAUUUUUCUUAUCUGGCCAAGUAAAUAAAUCAAAUUUAAGUGCUAAAACCUGCUAAUAAACUUACUAACAGACAAUCCAUAAGCCAAAUGAAGAUACAAAACAUGCAUUAAAACUAUACUUGACGUACAGAGUGCAGCUUGAGUCCCAGGAGCUUUGCAUAAAAAAUCUUCAUCAGAAUUCUGUUGGUGGUUUCAACCUAACAAGUCUCUUGAUUCUAUCUUU